CCUGCCUUCAAACCGUAUAUUACUUGAGACAUGGGAACCCUCAAUGUGACAAUCCUUUUAUGUUUUCUACUCCUCAUGCCACUCCAUUUAGUUCCUGGUUCAGAGGCCAAGACGUGCAAAGAGCUCAGUGGGACAUAUACCACUUCAUGUUGUGAUCAGGCUGAAUGUGUUGUGGCUUGCCGCAAGGAGGGCUUUACCCAAGGGGACUGUGAAGUUAUUGUCAAAACAAAAAAAUUAUGGUACUUUGUUUUUGCAAAAGAGAGUGUUGAAGAAGAAACGUGUUAAGGCUGUGGAGGAUGUGUUGUAGCAAUUAAUAAGAUUAUUUAGCAAGAAGAACUAAUAAUGAUGAGUGGUAAAUUUUGUGACUC